CAUUUUGAAUGAUGAGAAUGAGAAAUGAACAGUUAUCCCUGUCUGAUUCAGUAAUGCUGAUACUUCUCAAAUCUGACACUUUG